rnacentral:lncRNA from 1 species
CUCCCGUGACCCAGCCAGCUUGCCGGCCUUCCUCGGAGGCCAGUCCCUCCCCACCCCCGAGGGGCGAGGAAGGAACCCUGAGCUUCAACGCGUUAAGCAGGCGCUCCACCACUGAGCCACACCCCAGCCCUAACAUAUUGGCAUUUUAAGAAUUUGUUCCUAUCCCAGAAAGAAGACUGGCACCGCGUGGGCAAGUAGUUCCAGGCUGUUUUCACUUGGAGCGACCCACUUGUGCAAAGCAAGAGGAGAGCAAGACCAAAACUGAAAGGAGAGCCAGCCAGCUUUUCUCCACCGGGUCAGGGGCUUGGCAUUAAGGCACGAAGGCCAUUCAUGGAACUGUGAUGCUCUUUUAGGAUCACUUAGAAUCACAGACACUUAAAAGUGACGUCAGCGUAUAUAAUAGAGUCAGCCUCCAGUUUGAUCUUGACGGUUGCCGGCGUUGAGGCCUAAACCAUCCCUUCCUCACCCUGCACAUCUGGCACUUUGAUUCUGGCAGGAAGUGUAAACUUUGCUGGCCAAGUCUGAGAUCAGAAACUCUUCUCAACCAACUGCCACCUAUAAGGUAUGUUCUUUAAAAUUGUCAGGUGUGUUUACUCCAGAAGGGUAUUUCAGAUCAUUCUUUCCAUGUGCCCCUAUAAAACUUUGUAAAAGGUUAGGACACUUCUAAGGUAAUUGGAAUUUCUAUUCUCUUUGAUAGAUACUAGGAAAGCAAUAACAGGUUAUAGAAAUACAGAAUGAGUCUGAAAAAAAUAAUAGCACAUAGGAUCAAAUCUAAAACACCAGGCAUGGUGACUCAGGCCUGUAAUCCCAGUGGUUCAGGAGACUGAGGCAGGAGGAUCAGAAAUUUGGGACCAGCUUUGGCAACUUGCCAACACCCUGUCUCAAAAUAUAACAAGGGUUAGAGACGCAGCUGAGUGGUAAAGUACCCCUGGGUUCAAUCCCCAGUUCUGCCCCACCGCACACAAAAGUAGAAUGUCAGCUUCAAGGGGACAAGGAUGGAACCAAGGGGAAACACGGAUAAAUCCUCAAGCUUAAUUUGCUUUUAACUAAUGCUUUCAUCACCAAUUUUAUGGGUCACAUUAACUAACAUCUCAGUCAUAUUGGUCAUGAAGGUAGUUGUCUGUAUUGUUUUUCAGGCUACUUUUGUCACUUUCAAACCUGUUGAAACCAAUGACCUUUCACUUGGGCCUGCCAAGCUGUCUGAUGGGUGACUUUUUGAGGUCCAAGGCCCAAAAUUUGAACCUCAGAGCAUACUGUUGCCAACAUUUUCAGAAGUCAGUCUGGCUUCCAGCUUGGAAUAUUUUCAACCCAAAUGCCGGGUUCAAUCUAAAAGCCAUAAAAUUUGGUUAAGCAUAUGUGACUGUUACCAGAUUUUUGAGGCAAAGGCCCCAGUGCUAGGGGUCCUGGUGGACUGUUGGUUCUGACACACAUCCCAAGAUUCCAGUCCAAGAGACAUGCAGUUGUGAAGGCAGGAAAGGAACUUUAAUCAGUGUAGCUAUACCAGGAAGACAAGGGGACUUACAUCCUCAACCCAGUCUUCAGGGGUACUGGCAUGAACUCCCAGCUUAUAGAGUUUAAGGAGGCCAGAAGUGUGCAUGAUCAAGUGUAGUCUUGUCAAACUACGAUCUGGUUUAUCAUUAUUUCAAGAUUGGUCAGGGGGCCUUGUCUGGGAUAAGAAAUUGCUGUUGCUGGGGAGUAGUUCAAGUCUUCUCAUAGGAGAUUUAUUCAUCAGACCUACCUAGAAUCCAGUGUGACCACAGGAGAAAAUGGCACUGAGCAAAGGAAACAGAUCAGAACGGAGGCAGAGAUGCCACAUUUUUAACUGUUUUUUAGUUACCCAUCAGGCAUCUGUAGGUGUGUACAGAGCCAAGUGAAGUACUUUUAGUAAAAGCAGCCUCUCAGUCCUUAUUCCAGUACUGCUGAUUACUUCAGUUUUCCCUGCCUCUGAUCAUCUUUCCCUCAUAUCUCAGACCACCAUGUUUGGGUGGUUUUUUGUUUGUUUGUUUUGGUACCAGGGAUUGAACUCAGGGGCACAUAAAUACUGAGCCACAACCCCAGCCCCUUUUAUUUUUUAUCUUGAAAGAUCUCGGUAUGUUACCUAGGGCCUCAAGUUGCUGAGGCUGGCUUUGAACUUGUUAUCCUCCUGCCACAACCUCCUGGCUGAGAUUACAGACGUGCACCACCAUGCCCUGCCACCCUGCUUCUUUAUCCCAUAAAUACCACUAAGCCUUAUUUUUGGGGAGGUGGAUUUGAGACUUAGGUCCAGGGACCUCACACACCAUGCUCCCUUGGAGAUGCAGGGCUGCCGGCAGAGCUGCCCAGAAAGGGGCUCAGUGCCAUGCCAGUCUCCAAGUAGGGAUGGAACAGGAUACCAGGGUCUGAGGAGGGUCCCACAUGGCCUUUUCCAAUCAGCCCUCACUCCCUAGCUCAGGAUGCUGGCUCCUUGUUCACCAUUCCUUUCUUUUGGGGUCUCCUAGCAUCUUCCCACAGGAUCCUGUGAUCCAUACAAGUCACAGCAUAUGAAUACUGGAUCACAGUGUACUCAAAGAAUUCCAGACUUAAGUGUUGAAUGGAGAGAUCCUUGGCCUCAGAGUAGGAGAGACCUGUCCAGGCCAGCCAGACUGGAACAGGAGGGCUUGGAGUUUGGCAGGGGUCGGAAAUUCUCAUUUUUUAAUUAUUUAUUUUGAGAUAGGGUCUCCCUAUAUUGCCCAGGCUGGCCUUGAACUACUGGGCUCAAGCAAUCCUUCUGCUUCAGCCCCCUGAAGAGGCCACAGGCACAAGCCACUGUAAUAAAAUUAUUAAAUGUGUGGAAAAAUUAUUAAAUGUGCAGAUUAUGUCAGUAAUAUUCUAUAACAAUAAAGAGAAUAACAACAAAUAUUUGAACUCAGACAAACAGACUGCUUCAGCCAGUUCACAAGGAAACUGGCAUUUGGGUUGAACAUAUUCCAAGCUGGAAGCCAGACUGUUGAAAUGAAGCCCCAGUUGGCUCAUUCCUUGGCCAUGAGGCAGGGACACUUACGGAUUGAACUCUGGGAGUUCACCUUGCCCUCUGUCUCCUCCAAACUGUGUAGAAAGGCUCCUUUCUUCAAGAUAUUCAUUUUCACCAGCAAGAAACUAACCAGGAAUCAAUUUCAGGUUCUGAUCUAUGUAAACCAUCAAAUUAUGAACCUUUCUCUAGGAGAUACCCAAAAUGAGUCUUUCUCUAAGUCUGACCUUCACAGGUUUUUUUCACUUACAUGGAUGACAGUCUGACACCAGCAACUCUAUAGUGCCAAAACCAAACUGUCCAGAAAACAGCCCCAUGACAACAAGAGUCACAGUCUCAGAAAGGACAGACACUCCCAACUCUGCUGUGCGUCUCCCACUUUUCAGUGCUCUGCAGCUUAGGUCAGCUGGUCUGUAGCUGUUCUUCUGUAGCACAAGGUCACCUAUAGAGGACAGCACCUGCCCAGGAGGCACCAAGGAGAACUCCAUUGUCCCUCCUUUGCAGGCUCAAGUUUGGCCUCAGCUCUUAGCUACCUGUCUCAGUCCUGUGCCUGCCACUGCAGGUCAUUCACCUGCUUCACACCAACACCAAUAAGUUCAAUGACACAGAGACCUUCAGUCACAUUGUUUGAAUAAGAAAACAGCAGAGACCCUGCUUUCCUUCUAUGCUUUUGUGUACAGUAAAGGAGGAAAACUAAAAUACUGGCAAAUAAUUAUUCCUUUGAGAAAAACAAAGAUGUUAGCAAACUAUUAUUUUCAUAUUAACAAAUUCUUAUGGAGAGCAACUAAUUAGGUGUGAACCUUCCUUUUUCCUCUGCUUCAGUGACUCUCUAUGAUCCUUGGUGAGGCAUCAUUCAUCCUUUCCAGGUUUAGGAAAGGCCAGAAAGGCCAGAUUGAACAUUUUUUUUUUUUUUAAUGGUGUUGGGGAUUGAACCUAGGGUGUCCUCACACAUGCUAAGCAAGCACUCUCUCACUGAACUACAUACACCCCCAGCCUCAAGUCUGUUUAAAAAAUAUGAAUAAUGAAAAAUAAUAUGAUUUUAUAAUAUACAUUUGACAUAAAUAAUGUAAAUUUAAGUUGUUAAAAUACUAAAAUGAUAGAAUAUCAAAACAGAAUAUAAAAGUAGUUAAUGAUAAAACAAAAAAUAAAAGUAAAUAUCCAGAGUAUCUCCUCUAAACACAAUGAGAUGAACUUACGAAUAAAUAACUGAAGGAAAACUUGAAAAUUCACAAAAUGAGGAUAAACAACACUUAGUUUAAGAAUAAAUUAAUCAAGGGGCUGGGGCUAUGUUUUAGCAGUACAGCACUUGUCUUGCAUAUGGAGGCCCUGGAUUCAAUCCUCAGCACCACAUAAAUAAAAUAAAGGUAUUGUGUCCACCUACAACUAAAAAAAAAAAAAAAAAAAUUAAAGACCAAAUAACAGGUGAGAGUUGUGGAGUUGUGGGUGUACCUCUGUGGUAGAGUACUGUUCUAACAUGCGCAAAGCCCCUAGGUUCCACUCUCAGCACUAUAAUGAAAAAAAAAAAGAUAAACUUUGUAACUGUAUAAGCAUGAGAAGUAAAUUUUACAUAAUAAAAGGUGCCUGAUGUAUGUGCAAUAUAAAUGCUCAGUGACUCACAGCAUGAAAUAAACACCCUGGAAAAAUUAUAUAUUUUAUUUCAUCCAUGAAAUCAAUGGAAAAUUUUAAUGUAGCUUCUCAGUAAAUGAAUAAGAUAAUAACAUUUUUUAGUGUACAAGCUAAAUAAACUAUUUUUAAGAAACAUAAAUAUGAAUCUUGUGUCUGAGAAAAAAAAUAUUUUGUUUUUAAUCACAUAUAAUGAAACCUAGUUGAACUGGAACUGAGGUAUUACAUUCAGCUGCAUCAGAGGAAACACCCAUGAUUUUCCACACAGGAAGAAGGUGCUUAUUCUCCCAUGAAAGGACUGGGAGAGCAGUUACUGCACAAUCAGUGCAGCAGAGGAACAAACUCUGUUAUAGUCAGCUUUGCACUGCUGUGACCAACAUACCCAACAAGAAUAACUCAGGAAGCUGUGUGGAAUGUAUAAAUACUGCUCCUGUCCUGCAAUAAAGGGCUCCUACUCCAGCUGUAUCAAUCUACACAAGUUGUUAGUCACCCCCCUGAUUAUUCUGCUGCAGCCGGACUGCGGCAGAUGGUGGCCCGUUACGGGGAGCCCUGGGACACUCGGGGGUAAGUGACGAAAAAAAGCUGCCCGUCCAUAGAUAGGACGGGAGCAAUCUGCUCGUCCCUAGGCAGAUAGGGCGAGAGGAAAAAUGACCAUUUUGAGAAAAUGGAGAAGAUUGAUACAGUAUGUUUGUGUCUUGUUUUGUCUUGAAAUGUUGUAUUGUCUUUGUGAUGAAAAUAUGGAAGGGGUGAGAACUAAAUGACUAAGGGAAGAAGGCACCCCAGUGGAACCAAGAAUAGUUAGGGCAUGUGUUGAUAAGAGCCCAGGAACUCGAGUCAGAAAAAGAAAGUUCAGAAGAAGAAGGAUUAUCAGAAAAAAAGUUGCAGCAAAAGAUUAUUACUAAAUACUUUUCGUUACCAGAGGGUGUGUGAAGCGGAGAGGCGGCUGCCAAAUGUGCAAGCUGGUCACAGCGCAACAAGGAUUUUCCAAGAGGUGGCGGCGACUGGCCCUUCCCCGCCUCCUGGCCGGGGAGCUGGCUCUUCCACUGCCCGAGCCCAAAUCUAGACCUGACCUGGAGGCACAGUCUCGCAGGCUCUUGCUCCCUGUGCCCAGUAGCAGUUUGAGACCGGGACUCUCCCCAGGGCCAUCUGGGGCUACCCGGGACGCUACAGCCGCAGAAGACACUACUGGUGUCCCUGAUGUUUGGUCAUUUUCAAUGCCAAUAACUAAGCUACAAUGGUUCUCCCACACCUGGAAGCUAAUGAGUAAUGAGCACCAUUAAGGCUUAUUUAAAUGUAAAAAACCUUGAGAUAAUGUACUAAAUUGUUCAGAAGGUUGUUUUCUUAGUGCCUGCUGGAAUACUACAGGAUUUUCUUUAGCCAUCCGGAGUUCCUGCCUUCAUCCCAGUGCCAGUAAAGACCAAGGUGGAAGAAUUUCCAGUGUUGCUGAAAACUGGAGGAGACUUCGGAGCUAUUGCUGUUUCUGCUGCUACAACUUAAGCUAGCUGCCUGCAGAACUUACCUGGACUGUGAUUUAAGCUAACUGCCUGCAGAAUUUACCUGGACUGUGAGUUAAUCUAUUGAGACACUGCUUUACCUGGACUGAGACAACAAACUAUAAUCUACAACAAAUUGUAACUCGGUAUCUUUGCUAACAGUGUCAUUGCUGGUAUAAUUUUUCCAAGGGCUUCUUGCAUGGAGCCAUCAAUUGGCUUGGUAUUGUGACAUUUUGUAUCCUCCCCUUCUGCUUGUAGCAGAUUACUUAUAGUGUUUCUGUAAAAACCACUAUGGUCCUUAUUUAAAUUAAACAAAAGGGGGAAAUGUUGGAAUCUGUAAACAAGUCAAAAUAACACCUGGCAUUUUGCCAAGGGAAUGUUAGAGUUCGUAAACAAGUCUGGAUGGUGCCUGGCAAAAUGCCAGAGGGAGUGGUUUGAGAAGUAACAAAACUGAGCCAUUAAGUAUGGAGAUUCCUGAUUGGUUGACUGAUGUAUCUAGUUUAUGCUAAUUAGAUAAGCUGUGUGGAAUGUAUAAAUACUGCUCCUGUCCUGCAAUAAAGGGCUCCUACUCCUGCUGAAAAAAAAAAAAAAAAAAAGAAUAACUCAGGAGGAAAAUUUUAUUCUGGCUCACCAUUUCAGAGUUUCAGUCCAUGGCUGGACAAUUUCAUAGCUCUGGGCCUGAGGUGAGGCAGAACAUCAAGGCAGAAGGGUGUGGUGGAGGGAAGCAGAAAGAACUUGAAUGCAAGGAGCCAGGAAUAUUAUUACUCCCCAGGGCAGGCCCCCAGUGACCUGCUUCCUGCAGUCAUGCCCUUCCUGCCUACAGUUACCAAUGCAUUCAAAUUACUAACCCAACUGGUUAAUCCACAAUUAGGCCACAGCUCUUAAAAAUCUAAUCAUUUCACCUCUGAACAUUCCUACAUUGUCACACAUGAGCUUUCAGGGACUACCUCACAUCCAAACCAUAACAAACUCUCAUCUAGUGAGUUUUGCUAGCAUCCUUGUAGCUGUCAUGCUCAAUCAAGAACAUAGUCACUAUCCCCAUGAACAAAGAUACCUGACAUACAAAUUAGAUCUUCUUAGAGUCUAGACUUAGGACUUGAAAGAAAAUCCAAACUGCAAGGUGGAUUUUUUUUAACACAUAGUUCAGGGUCCUGUUUUUAGGAAUGAGCCACUGGUAGACACAAUACAUUUAUGAUUUUAUAACAUUUCCUUUGGGUUGUAUAUUUUCUGGAGGAUUAAACACCAAUUACAAAUUACACUGGGCAUUUUCAGAUUACUUUUUUGGGGGGAUGGGUACUAGAAACUAAAUUCAGGGGCACUCAACCACUAAGCCACAUCCCUAGUGCCCCACCCCACUUUUUGCUGGUUGGUUGGUUGGUUUCUAUUUUAUUUAUAGACAGUGUCUCACUGAGUUGCUUAGCACCUCACUAAAUUGCGAUCCUCCUGUCUCAGUCUCCUGAGCUGCUGGGAUUACAGGCGUGCACCCUGCGCCCAGCUUAGUUUUAAAAUGUAUUUGUUAAAAUUGAAAACUUUCUUGUAUUUUUCACAUUUAUGGAGUUUUGAUCCAAUGUGCAUUUGUUUUGUUUUCUUUUGAGAAGGGGUCUCACCCUGUUGCCCUGACUGGUCUUGAGCUCUUGGGCUCAAGCAGCGCUCCCUGCCCAGCCCCAGUGGCUGGGACUGAAGGCAGGUACCACGAUGCCUGGUUGUGUGUGUUCUUACAUGUAGGCCAAUCGAAGACUUUUGCACAUCACUUCUACUCAAGAGGCUUCUCUCCACUCUGCUUCUUUAUGACUCUGAAUUGAACUGGGAUGAUGAAAGACUUUCCCACACACUUUGUUUAUAGGCCUUUGUCAAACAAUGCACUCUCCCCACAUGUGGCUCGAAAGCUUUGUUGAUAAUAAAAGCUGUCCCACAUUAUUUAGUUCUCUCUUGUGUGAGUCCUUUCACUUUUUUAAAGAUUUAUAUUAUAAUGGAAGGCUUUCCCACAUUCAUACAAUCACAAGAUUCCUC